rnacentral:lncRNA from 1 species
AUCAGAAAUGUUCCUCCUGAUCAGCUUCCCGAGGAACCCGACCUCACCAGUUCUGGCAGGACAGAGGAGGCUGGCAGGGGAGCAGCCCAGCCUUUCCCUUCAGAGAGCAGAUGCUGAUGGCUCUUGGGGCCUCUCAGGCGGGGACAGGCCCAAGCCACUGCCAGCCUUUGCCGCUCUCUGUGAAAAAGACAAAGAAUGGUGCUGCAAGCCUGUAAUUGCAGAACUCUGGGAAGCUGAGGCAGGAGGAUGAGUUCGAGCCCAGCCUGGCCAAUUUAGCAACUUUGUGAGAUCCUGUCACAAAAUAAGAAACAAAAAGGCCUAAGGAUGCAGCUCAAUGUGAAGGCCCUGGGUACUGGAAAAAACAAAAGGAAAGAAGAGAAGAAAGGAGAAAUACCAAACAAAAAGCGCUGGGGAUGGAGCUCAGGCCUGCACUCACGCUAGGCCAACGCUUGGGGCGGGGCUUAGCCCAGGGGUAGCGGGUGGACAUGGGGAAAGUGUCGCCUGGCCCCUGGCCGGCGGAAGGCAGGCUGCGUGUGUGCUGGGCCUGCUCGGUUUCCCUGCUUCAGGCACCAGCCGCUGAGUCCUCCCCGGGGACUUUCCUGGCUGCCAGCGCUUGUGUUCCGACUGGGGUGACCUCCUCCCCCUCCACCAGACCUGUGUGUCCACUGAUUGUCACAGAGAUUGGCCUGAGGCUGACCAAGCGGCCACACCUGGCUCAGAGAGCCUUGUACACGGGAGCAGCAGCAGGAGAGCCAGGUUACAGAGGGCCUUGUAAGCCUCAGUGAGCAUUUCGGUCUUGAACCCUGUGAACUCAGAAGUUACUGCACGGCUGACUCAGGAGACCACAGGAAAUGGCUUCUCUGGGGGCACAGAGCAUCAUAUCAGAAGUUGUGGGCAUUAGCAUAUCAGAGCCAACAGAUAUUCCUGGUUUCCAGGUGUGGAGUGGAAAUUCUGCCUUUAGGACACCAGCUGGCUGGUGUGGUGGUGCACACCUAUAAUCCCAGCACUAGGGAAGAUGAGCCAGGAGGAUCACAUGUUCAAGCCUGGCCUGGGUAAUUUAGCAAGACUAUCUCAAAAAAUGAAAAAAGGGCUGGAUGUAGCUCAGCGCAAAGACUCUGGGUUCAAUCUGCAAUACCACACAUACACAGAAGCCAAAAACCAAAAAAUGCUUUAUUUACAAAAGUCAGUCUAGCUGGGUUUGGUCUGUGGACCUGUUUGCUGAUCUCUAACAUAGAAAGAAUAUAUUAGGAACAUAUAAGGACUUGUAUCAGGAUGUCUAUUGCAUUAUUGUAGUUUGAAGAGGAAAAAAAGCCAAAGACCUGAUACAACCUACACAUCCACCAUUAGUUUAUGAGUUCAGUGUGAUGGUUGAGAAAUCCUGGCAAGUUUAUUCUACAGAUUUAAAGCAAAUGUUCAAGGGAACCAGUGAAUUAUGGGCCUCCUGACUUGGACGAGCAUCUGUAAGGUAUUAGGUGUACACAGCAGUCUGCAGAACAACACAACCGACCUGCACACCUGUCCACGCUGUGGCUCCGUAGGGCCCUGCUGUCACAGAAGGCCCUCCUCCGUCCCUCUGAUGCUGAGCCGGGCCAUGAGGCUCGCUGUGACUGUGGAGUGUUAGCAGGUGUGAGCAGAGCCCAUCCCUGUGCCUGCAUAGUCGCUGCUUGCGUUUUGGCAUUUGGGUGCUGAAGACAGAACACAGAGCCUUGAGCAGGCUAAGCCCAUCCCUCUACCACCAGAGCUCUGCCUCCAGUCCUGCCGUACAUGGUUCCCCGUGGUUUCUGUGCUCCCAGGGGCACCUUUCGAAGAACAUACCCUGAGUGGCCACUAGAGCAAGGUUGACAAGGAGCAGGCGAGGCAAGCCCAGCCCAGGCACCGCAGCCUGAAGCAGAACUGCCCAGCCUGCACCUGCAGAGCCAGGAGCUUAAGAGAAAAGGCUUUGGCCGGGCAUGGUGACGCAUGCCUGGAAUCCCAGCACUCGGAAGGCUGUGGCAGGAGGACCAACUUGAAUUCAAGGCCAGCCUGAUCUACACAGCAAGACCCUGUCCCCCUACAAAAACAAAUAAACAAAAAAGAAUAAAAGCUUAGGUCCAUGUUUUGCUGCUAUAACAAAAUACCAGAGGGGCCGGGGAUUUAGCUCAGUGGUUUCACCGCCUGCUGCGCAAGCACAAGGACCCAAGAUCGAUCCCUGGUACCAAAAAAAAAAACCCAACAAAAUACCAGAGGCUGGGUAAUUCAUAAAGAAAAUAAAUUGUGGGCCAGGUGUGGUAGGGUACCCCUGUAAUCCAGAACUUGAGAGGCUGAGACAGUAGGAUCCCUAUGAAUUUGAGACCAGCCUGGGCUACAUAGGGAGUUCAGAGCCAGCCUGAACUACGUAGAG